GCAGAAUCCCUUUUUUUAUGAUGCUUACAUGAAGGGGAAACAGGCACAGAAAAGUAAAUCUAUCACUUGCUGUCCAUAAUAGUAAGUUUGGGCCGUAGAAAGGGGCUCAGGUGAGAGAUGGGGCAGUAUGUGCCAUUGGAGCUUAGAUAGGGCACUGGAGUGGCCUCCCUGUGGGGGCGGCACUGGCACAGAGGCCUGACUGAAAUGUGGGAGUGCCCCGUGAGAAUCCUGUGGGAGGGGAGCCUAGCCAAGGGAACUGCUGGUACAGGGCUGGGCUGGUACAGGGCUGGGUCCACUCCACACUGCUGGGUGCUCCAAUAGCCCUGAGGAUGCUGGUGCAGGGGCUGGGCCAGCGGGUCCACUCCACACUGCUGGGUGCUCCAAUAGCCCUGAGGAUGCUGGUGCAGGGGCUGGGCUGGCAGGUCCACACCACACCACUAUGCGCUCCCCGGGUCUGAGGAGAAG
rnacentral:lncRNA from 10 species